GGUUGCCUACGGGGGGCAGCAGUGGGGAAUAUUGGACAAUGGGGGGAACCCUGAUCCAGCGACGCCGCGUGAGUGAAGAAGUAUUUCGGUAUGUAAAGCCCUAUCAGCAGGGAAGAAGAUGACAGUACCUGACUAAGAAGCCCCGGCUAACUACGUGCCAGCAGCCGCGGUAAUACGUAGGGGGCAAGCGUUAUCCGGAUUUACUGGGUGUAAAGGGAGCGUAGGUGGCAUGGCAAGCCAGAAGUGAAAACCCGGGGCUUAACCCCGCGGAUUGCUUUUGGAACUGUCAGGCUGGAGUGCAGGAG
rnacentral:rRNA from 1 species